rnacentral:lncRNA from 1 species
UUUUUUUUUUUUUUUUUCUCUCUUAUGAAUUGUGUUUCUGGUGCCACGUCUAAGAAUUCUUCCCCAAGUCCUAGAUCCUGACUUUUCGUCUGUGUGUCUCUUGUCUUGCAGAGUUUUAUACUUUCACAUUUCAGGCUUUGAGAAAAUAUGUGUAUAGAUGUGAAAUUUAGGUGGAGAUUCCUUUUUUCCCCCUACUAUGAAUAUUCCAUUGAUGUAGCACCAUUUUUUGAAAAUCCUGCCUUCAUUAAAUUACCUUAGUAGCUUAGUCAGAAAUCAGCUGGAAGCACAGUUAACCCUUAAACAAUGCAGAGGGCUAGGGCAGUGACCACCCCAAGCAGAGAAAAAUCCAUGUAUAACUUUAUAGCUGACUCUCUGUACCCAGGGUUUUGCAUCCACAGACUCAGUCAGGCUCAGAUCCUAUAAGACUACACUAGUAUUUAUUGGGGGGAAAAAAAGCAUAUAUACUGAACCUGCAGACCUUAAACUUGUUAUUCAAGGGUCAGUGGUACUGUGAUUAGCUAAUUUUUUUUCUCCAUUCUGUUCCAUUGGUCUCAAUGUCUGUCACUCCACCAAUACCAAAGAGUGGCUGUUACUACUUUAGGAAUCUUGAGAUGAUGUGGAGUGAUUCCAGCCACUUGAGUAUUUUUCAGAUACUCUCAUCCUUCUGUUUCUUUUUUCUUUCCACAUUGAUUUUAGAAUGAUCUGAAGUGUACAGGAAAAAAGCUUUCUGUAGAUGAGAAAAUGCCUUAACUGUGUGUUUCAGUUUGGGGCGGUCUGACAUCUCUGUGCCGUGACCUCAGUCACUGAACAAUGUUUGUUUCUCUAACAAGUCAGUAAACGUGUUUCAUUAAGAGGACCACGUUUUGGGAGUUCCCCUUGUGGCUCAGCGAUAAUGAAUCUGACCAGCAUCCAUGAGGACUCGGGUCUGACCCCUGGUCUCUCUCAGUGGGUUAAAGGAUCCGGCGUUGCCCUGAGCUGUGGUGUAGGUCACAGACAAGGCUCAGAUCCCGCACUGCCGUGGCUGUGGUGUAGGCUGGCAGUUGCAGCUCCAGGUUGACCGCUAGCCUGGGAACUUGCAUAUGCUGGGGUGUGUCCAAAAAAAGCAAAAAAAAAAAAAAAAAAAAAGAUGACCAUGUUUANAUGUUUAAAAAUGUCACCUUUCUUUACCAUUGUGUAACUUUCAACAUAAAAAUCCAAAUUUUGUUAGAGUUCCGUGCUGGGUGUGGCAUGUUCAGCUCCUACUCAACAGAGGGCGACAGGACGUGAUAAGUGGAGAGCUUGGUUACGCACACACGCUGUGAAGCAGCAGCAGGGGACACCGUGAAGAGCCAUGUGAGAGGUCAAGCUUGUGUAUUUCCCUGGAGUCUUCCCUUUUGACACAUGGAUUUUUAAAAGAUAUUUCUUUGCUGUGUGAAGCUACACCGUGCAUCGUAGAACAUUUACCAGCACACUGGGCUCGACCCGCAUCAGCAGCACCACCCCAACUGUGAAAUAAAACACAUCUCCAAACAUUUGCAGAGGUGUCCGAGGAGCGGGUGAUCACCCCUGCAUGUCCCUUCCACCAAUGGAGAGAGGAAAAAGCAAAAGGGGAGUUCCCGUCGUGGCGCAGUGGUUGACGAAUCCGACUAGGAACCAUGAGGUUAUGAGUUCGAUCCCUGGCCUCGCUCAGUCGGUUGAGGAUCUGGCAUUGCUGUGGCUGUGGUGUAGGCUGGUGGCUACAGUUCCGAUUAGACCCCUAGCCUGGGAACCUCCGUAUGCCACAGGAGAGGCUCAAGAAAAGGCAAAAAAGACAACUACAAAAAAACAUUUUCAUAACCCAUGAUAAUCUAGCAGCAUCCCCCCCAUCCCAGCAGCACAGAUUUCGAGACGUCCCAGCCAAUGACCGUGUCAUACAGGAAAGGGGUUAUGUCGCUUGACGGGUGACUGUCCUGGGAGUCCCGGCCGACAACCGAGUCCUGUUCUGCUCGUGCAACGUCUGCACAGAAACCAGGCGAUGCUGUCGAUCUGAGCAAACGAUCUGUGGGGCUGGACGGGGCUGGAGCAGCUGAGACCCCGACCUUGGAAAAGACCUGCCUGACCUUGGAAAAGACCUGCCACCGCAAGAGUCGUAACCGUGACUCACGCUCCAGGCACUCGUGAUGGAGCACGACGGCGCAUACUGUGAGAAAAAGCACGCACACACUGAAGAGUCAUAAACAUGUUCCAGAAGGUAUGGUCAAGUUUACUCUUAGCAGAACCCGAAAGGAAAGACCUGGAAAUGGCUACGAAGAGGAGAAUGAAUGAAUGCACUCUUAUAAACACGUGUGGAGGCGGUAAAACCCUCCCAAGGGUCCGGCAGUAGAAGAUGACCCUGGGUGCUGGACGAUGACCUCCUGGCGGGAGCAACAGAGGUUGACUGGUGGGAACAAAGUUAGCAGGAAGCUUUGCUAAGGUUUCACGUCUUGGUGGACAUGAUGAUAUUUGGUAAGAAUAACCUGUGAGCUACAUUAUUUUAAAAGGAGCAUCAAGGAGUUCCUGUCGUGGCGCAGUGGUUAACGAAUCCGACCAGGAACCAUAAGGUUGUGGGUUCGAUCCCUGGCCUUGCUCAGUGGGUUAGGGAACCGGUGUUGCCAUGAGCUGUGGUGUAGGUUGCAGACUCGGCUUGGAUCCCACGUUGCUGUGGCUCUGGCGUAGGUCGGCGGCUACAGCUCCAAUUUGAUCCCUAGCCUGGGAACCUCCAUAUGCCGCAGGAGCAGCUCCAGAAAAGGCAAAAAGACAACAACAACAACAACAAAAAAAAACUAUAAAGAGAAAAUAAAUAAAAGGAGUAUCAAUUUUGGC